GUCAUCAUGUUCAGCCUCUUUUUUCCCCUUUUUCUUCUUUUGCUUUCUCUAUAUAUGGUAGUUGUUCAAUUUUAGGUUUUCUUAUUGGGGAAAUUUCUUGCAAAUCUUUACUACUAUAAAAGGAAAGAAAUUGAAAGCUAUCCUCGAAACAGAUCAUUUGAAUCUCUGGUCCUUUGCCAUGUACCUGAAGACAAGUCCUUCGAAGGGGACAUUAAGAAACUACAGCUACUUAUUAAUCUCUCUCACACACACAAUAUAUUGAAUAGAAGUAUCAAUGGAUGAAGCGCUGCGGCACCAGGUUCAUCUGAACUCAGUUCUUUUUAUUCGUAACAUACAUUUAUGUAGAAAAAUGAACUAAAACAGUAAGU